AUCAAUUACAAUCGAAAUCGAAGUCCCCAACUCUCCGUCUCCUUCAACCUCAUCGCCAUCUUCCGUCGCAAGGAGUGCAGCGCCGAUAGAUAUCGACGAUUCGUUUCAGAUCCCUCCCCACCAUCGUCUUUAACCCCGUGCUUCGUCUGUUUCGGCAUCGAUCACACGUUAGCGGAGGCGAUCUGGAGAAAACAUGGUUGGUGACGAUGUCUCAUUGGAAGGAUUGGAGCAAGAGCUCGAAGAUUGCAAAGCUGACGAGUUAGUUGCCAACAUACUGUCCAAAGGAACGAAAUCGCGAGACUAUACGAAGGAUGUGGAGAACAAUUUACGGCAAUCUGAACUCGAAUCCAUUGAGGCUGAAAUUUGUUCAAUAAGCUCAGAUAUUAAGAUUCUUCAAGAGAAAUCUAUGGGCAUGGGGCUUAAGCUCAAGAAUCGAAAGGUGAAUGAGGAGUAUAUGAGAACCCUUGAGAUUCUAAGUAAAAAGAUAAAGUUUAUUGAAUCUGAUGCAAUGGUGAAGACUUCUAAAGCUCUAAAUGAUGUUCAACCGGAACUAGAAAAGCUUCGUCAAAAAGCAGUUUCAAAGAUAUUUAAUUUCGUUUCUUAAGGAGCAUGGUAAGGAAGUGUAUCUUGAGGUUCGAUCUGCAUAUAUUGAUUCGAUCUGCCUAUAUUGACACCAUGAAUAAGGUUUUAAGCACCAAAAUUCGGGCUUACAUUCAGGCCCUGGAGAAGCUGCAACUUGAUAUAGCAACAUCUAGUGAUUUGAUUGGUGUUGACACCAUAAGCACUAGUCUUUUCUCAAGAGGAAGAGAGCCUUUGAAAAAUCGUUCUGCUGUUUUUGCUUUGGGUGAAAGGAUAAACAUUCUGAAGGUGUGGAUACAUCACGGCUAAGGAUGUUCUUGAAUUAGUUGAGGAACAGAUCCUAAAGGGUGAAAUCGUUGAGAGGCUUUGGAGGUUUCACAAUUCUCUCUGAAUAUAUAUGUUCUCUUCUCCUCCCAUUCUUAUCUUAGAUUGAUAGAUAAUUCAAAUUACAUGCAUUACUAAUUAAAUCAGGGG